rnacentral:rRNA from 1 species
UACGUUCCCGGGCCUUGUACACACCGCCCGUCACACCAUGGGAGUCGGUAGGACCCGACGGCCCCGUGCCAACCGUAAGGGGGUAAGGGUCUAAGGUCAGCUCGAUGACUGGGGGUG